AUCCAGAUGACGAGUCCCAAACAGGACGAAAUCCCGUGCAUCCUUGAU
rnacentral:hammerhead_ribozyme from 1 species